rnacentral:rRNA from 1 species
GACGAACGCUGGCGGCGUGCUUAACACAUGCAAGUCGAACGAAGUGGCGAACGGGUGAGUAACGCGUAAUCAACCUGCCCUUCAGAGGGGGACAACAGUGGGAAACGACUGCUAAUACCGCAUACUGAAGGAGGGGAUUGCGUCUGAGUAGCUAGUUGGAGGGGGAACGGCCCACCAAGGCGAUGAGCAGUAGCCGGUCUGAUGGGAUGAACGGACACAUUUGGACUGAGAACAGGCCCAUGCGCCUACGGGAGGCAGCAGUGGGGAAUCUUCCGCAAUUGACGAAAGUCUGACGGAGCAACGCCGCGUGAGUGAUGACGGCCUUCGGGUUGUAAAGCUCUGUUAAGCGGGACGCGGUACCGGAAUAGAAAGCCACGGCUAACUACGUGCCAGCAGCCGCGGUAAUAC